GUCUACGGCCAUACCACCCUGAACACGCCCGAUCUCGUCUGAUCUCAGAUGCUAAGCAGGUCGGGCCUGGUUAGUACUUGGAUGGGAGAAUUUGUCACACGUGGCAUCACUCCUGUGACUGCAUGACAUCUGGGACA
rnacentral:rRNA from 1 species